rnacentral:rRNA from 1 species
AACGCGAAGAACCUUACCAGGUCUUGACAUCCCUCUGAAUACGUUAGAGAUAGCGUAGGCCUUCGGGACAGAGGAGACAGGUGGUGCAUGGUUGUCGUCAGCUCGUGUCGUGAGAUGUUGGGUUAAGUCCCGCAACGAGCGCAACCCUUGAAUUCAGUUGCCAGCACUUCGGGUGGGCACUCUGAAUUGACUGCCGGUGACAAACCGGAGGAAGGUGGGGAUGACGUCAAAUCAUCAUGCCCCUUAUGACCUGGGCUACACACGUACUACAAUGGUCGGUACAACGGGAAGCGAAGCCGCGAGGUGGAGCCAAUCCUAGAAAAGCCGGUCUCAGUUCGGAUUGCAGGCUGCAACUCGCCUGCAUGAAGUCGGAAUUGCUAGUAAUCGCGGAUCAGCAUGCCGCGGUGAAUACGUUCCCGGGCCUUGUA